rnacentral:lncRNA from 1 species
GCCUAGGUGGGAAACUGAGGCUCAGAAGAAUGCACUUGCCUGAGGUCGUGCAGCCAGAACACAGGCUCCCUGCCUGCCACCAGCCCACUCCUUUACCCCUAGUCACCCUUAGUCACCCACUACAGGUCUCAACGUGCUCCUGGUUGGGAAGUCUCUUUUCUUAUCUAAACUCCAUUCAUCUUACUGCAGGACGGGCCCCUCGGUAUUGGUAAAUGUCAUAUCCUCAGGAUCAAGAAGUCAUUCCAAAAUGUGAAGCGUUCUGAAGAUAUGCACAUAGCGUAAGAACCUGGUGUAAUGUGCUGGUCAAGGCGGUCUCAGAGAGGAGAUGACGUUUGAGCUGACACCUGAGGGAUGAGAAGAAAGCAGCCAUUCCCAGGGCCCAGGGGAGGCAUCCCAGGAAGCCGGAUCAGCAUGAGCAAAAGCCCUGAGGCCUGGCACAAGUUGGUCUGCUUGAGAAGCAGGAGAGAGCCCUGAGCAUCCGGAGUGCAGCAAGCGAGGUGCACAGAGGAGCAGGAAGGGGCUGGGAGAAGGCUGGGGCCGGAUCAUGCAGGACAGGCUGGAGGAAGGGGCUUGAAUUGUCUUCUGACCACUGAGGGGAUAUAAACAUGAGGGCAAAAUCAUCUGAUUUCCAUGUGCAAAGGCCCACUCUGGCUGCUCUAGAGAGAACAGAUGAUUGCAGGGUAAAAGUGGAUUUAGAGAGGUCAGAUGGAGGCUGGGUACGUGCCGUGUAUGGUAGAUAGCAUGCUACCAAAUACACUCACAGGUAGCCCUAUUAUCUCCAUUUCACAGAUGAGCAAGUCAAGAUGCAGAAGGACUCUCUGGCUUGUCCAAGGUCACACGGCUGUUAGGAGCAGAGCAGCGUCCUGGUGCCCAAGCCCUGAGGUCCCCAGCACACUGCCUCUGCAAUGGCCACAACUGUCCAAAGACUAAGCUGACUCUCACACCUGGUAGUGUCUGUGGUCAUUCACUGUGGAUGGAAGUGGAGAAAUGCAGAAAACAGAAACACAGCUUCCCCUUUUCUGUCAUAUUUCUGUAUCGUUGGUGUUUGGAGCCAGUUGAGCACAAAGGGCCCCUGAGUGCUGUUUCCUUGUGAUAUUUGGGGGUUAACAGCUUCCCCUCAUCUCUUAAUUACCUGCCCUCCUUCACUUCAGCUGCACAUUCGUUAAAGAAUGCUCUCCCAGGAGAAGAGCUUGGUGUUAUCACCCACAAACAUCUUAGAAAACUAAUGCUAUCCUUGAGUGCCUGUUUACAGAAACAUUUUUACAUCUCACUUGACAUUUCCAGCAAAUCUUGAUCCUUCCAGCCAGGAAUAUUAAUAUAUAGGUCUUGAAAAGUGCAAGAGGCUCUUCCAUGGCUCCAAGCACAUUUGACACUCUUCCUUUUCUGAUCCCCAAGCAGACAGUGAUGAAACCCCAAUAGCUGGGCGAAUACUCAUCCAACAGGAAGAAUCAGUUUUAAGAGCUGGGUUCUCAGGGUCAAAUACUGUGGUGUGGCCUUUUGGUUGUAAUGAGUUGAAUGGAGGUCUCAAAAAAGAUAUAUCCAUGUUCUAAUCCCCAGAACUUGUGAAUGUGACCUUAUUUGGAAAAAGAGUCCUUUUGGAUGUAAUUAAGUUAAGGAUUUUGAGAUAAGGAGAUCAUCCUGGGUUAUCUGGGUGGACCCUAAAUCUGUUGACAAUGUCCUUAUGAGAGACCCCAGAGGGCACAGACAGGAAAGGAAGAGGCAAUGUGGCCCCAGAGGCUGAGAUCAGAGCUCUGUGGCCACAAUUCGAGGAACACCUGGAGCCACCAGAAGCUGGAGGAGGCAAGGAACAGAUUCUCCCUGAUCCUCUGGAUACAGAGGGAGAAUAGCCUGGCCGACACCUUGAUUUUGGACUUCUGGCCCCCAGAACUGAGAAAAUUAACUUCUGUUGUGUUAAGCAGCCACGUUUGUAGCAGUUCAUCAUAGCAGCCCUGGGAAAGAAAUACAGUGGGCUUCCAGUUCAAGGAGGAUCCACGAGGCCUGAGCUCCAUCUGUCGAUUGGAAUCACCAAAAUCAAGGUUGUGUGCGGGUAACGCCAGCACAAGCAGCUCAUGCUGGCAAAAGCAGACCAAACCGGCUCACGCAACGUCAAGUCAUCUUGAAGUGGUUCACGCACCACAGAGCAGACCUGCAGAGGGGCCAGAAGACACCUGGCCGGGUGGGGAGCAGCCCCUCCGUAAUAACAAUCGGAACCUGGGAAGAUAAGUAGAGUCCCAGGGGAGGGACAGAGUUUCCCCUGUGUCACCACAUGGCUACUUUGACACAAAUGCACGUGGGCAGAGAGAGGCAUGCAGGUCAAGGGCCUGGCAGGGAGUCAGGGGCCCUCAGUGCCAGUCCUGGCUCUGCCUCUGCCUCUGACACGCCAUGUGACCUUGAGCAAGUCACCACCCUGUCUGGGCUUCGCUAACCCAUAUACGGAAUGAGAAGGUAUCGUCCCUGGUCACUGCAGGUUUUAAAUCAUGUAGUGAGAGAGAGCUCAUUUGGUCCAACUCUCUGCAACUGAAGGAAUGGAGACACCAAGGGGGAGUAAUCGGCCGCAGUGAUGAGUGGGUGGCAAAGGGAGCUAUCACUACCAUUGAUUAUCCAGCUACUUGUGCUUGAUAAACUCCCUCCUGGUGGAAUGGGCUUUCCCACAUCCAGCAGCACAAAUGCUGUGAGCAUCUACUACGGGCUGGGCACCUUCUCUGGGCUGGCACUUGACAUGGGUUAUCUCAUUUAACUCCCUAACAACCCUAUGUGGUAUUAUCAUCCCCAUUUCACAGGCGGCAAAACUGAAUCCCAGAGAGAAGACUCACUCAGACACAGCUAUCUGAACACUCUUUUCCAGUUCCCCUAGGGCAGCAGAGGAAGCAAGGUGGGGGGAAGCCAGUGGUCAAGGAUUCCAUGCGGAAUGUACCCUAGAAUUAACCCAUGGAGAGAGGGUAAGGGAACGGGCUCAGGCCUGGGAAGAAGUGGGGAGGACAGUGUCCUGUUGACCUAUUCAAAAACAUCCAGUUUUAGUUAAUUUUUAGUUCAUUAGUCACCACUUUUUAUUAGUAUCUCAUGUAUUCUUUCACAGUUUCUUUCUGCAGGUACAAAAAUAAUGAUUUUUUUUCUUUCUUUUUCUUCUUUGAGACAGGGUCUCGCUCUGUUGCCCAGGCUGUAGUACAAUGGUGCAAUCUCGGCUCACUGCAACCUCUGCCUCUGGGUUCAAGCGAUCCUUUGCCUCCGCCUCCUGAGUAGCUGGAAUUACAGGCAUGCACCAUGAUGCUUGGUUAAUUUUUGUAUUUUUAGUAGAGUCAGGGUUUUGCUAUGUUGGCCAGGCUGGGCUCCAACUUCUGGUCUCAAGUGAUCCACCCGCCUCGGGCUCCCAAAGUGCCAGGAUUACAGGCGUGAGCCACUAUGCCUGGCCAAAAGUGGCGAUGUGUUCUUAAUGCCCAUUUUCACAUAAAAGGUAAUAAUCUACCCACACCAUGCUGUACCUUGUUUGUUUUUUGUGUGUUUGUUUGUUUGUUUUUUGACAGAGUCUUGCUCUGUCAGCUAGGCUAGAGUGCAGUGGCACAAUCUCAGCGCGCUGCAACCUCCGCCUCCCGGGUUCAAGCGAUUAUCCUGCCUCAGCCUGCUGGGUAGUUGGAAUUACAGGAGCCUGCCACCAUGCCCAGCUAAUUUUUGUGCUUUUAAUAGAGAUGGGGUUUCACCAUGUUGGCCAGGCUGGUCUCGAACUCCUGACCUCAAGUGAUCCAUCCACCUUGGCCUCCCGAAGUGCUGGGAUUACAGGCGUGACCCACCGCGCCUGGCUCUUGUUUGUUUUUUUAACUAAUCACACAUCUUAGAGACCUUUAUCAGUAAUUAGAGAGCUUCCUGGAUCUUUUAUAUCACUGCAUAAUAAAUAUUCUAUUAUAUAGAUUAGAAUAAUUCAAAUUACCAGUUCCCUAUUGGUGGACAUUUGUUUCUGGUUUGUUUGUUUUUUCUAUUUUUUUUCUUAUCACAAACAGUGCUGCAAUAAGUAAUUGUGCAUAUGCACUGUUUCACAUGUGUGCAGGUAUACCUGCAGGAUAAAUUCCCAAAAAUGAAUUCCUGAUUUAAGAGUAUCUUUUUUUUUUUGAGACAGGGUCUUGAUCUGUUGCCCAGGCUAAAGUGCAGUGGCAUGAUCACGAUGCACUGCAGCCUCAGCCUCCUGGGCUCAAGCGAUCUUCCCACCUCAGCUUCCCAAGUAGCUGGGACUACAGGCAUGUGGCACCACGGCUGGUUAAUAUUCUCAGUGUAACAGAGUUUCAUCACAUUGCCCAGGCUGGUCUUGAACUCCUGGGCUCAAGCAAUCCUCCCACCUCAGCAUCCCAAAGUGCUGGGAUCACAGGCAUGUGCCACCAUGCCUGGCAGGUUGAAAGUACUGUAUGAGUUAUCUAUUGCUGCAUACCAGAUUAUCAUAAACUCAGCAGUUUAAAAAAACACCCAUUGUUUAGCUCACAGUCUCACCUGAACUGGGUGCUGAGUUCAGGGUGAAACCAAGGUGGCGGCCAGGCUUGGUUCUUUUUUGGAAGCUCUGGGGGGAAAAUCUACUUCCAAGGCCAUUCUUGUUGUUGGCAGAAUCUGGAUCCUUGUGGUUGUAGAACUGAGUCUCUGGUUUCUUGCAGGCUUCCAGGAGGGGCCUCCCUGGGCUCCCGGAGGACACCCACAGUCCUCACCAUGCAGCUCCCUCCAACAUCAAGCCAGGAAUGGCCGAACAGAUCUUUCUCAUGCUUCAAAUCUCUGAUGAAUUUCUCUUGCCAGAGAAAGCUUGCCAUUUUCCAAGGGCUCACCCAGUCAGAUCCGUCCAACAAGGGUGAUCUCCCUAACAUUAGGUUAACUGACUUGGAACCUCAGUUAAUCUGCAAAAUCCCUUUUGUCAUAUAAUGGAAUACAAUCAUUUGGUUCACAUGCUCAUCUUAUUCACAGGCCCUACACUCAUACAAGGGCAGGGGACCACAGAAGAGUGAAGGCCAGUGAGGGUCACCUCAGAAUUCUGCCCAACACCGGUGUUUUGUAAUUUGGGUAGAUGUUGCCAUGUUGUCCUCCGUGGGGAUUAUGCAGAGGGAACUCUCCUCCUCCAGCAACAGUACAUGUACCUGCUUUUCCAUGGUGCUGCUUAGAGAAUGUUAUCAAACCUUUGGAUUUCUGCCAGUCUGAUAGGAGAAAAAUGGAAUCUCAAUUGUAUUUUAAAAUUGUAAUUAUCGCCUUAUGAAUAAGGCUGAGCAUUUCCUCAAAAGCAUAAGAGCCAUUUAUAUACUUUUUUCUUUAUGGCUUCUGGUUUUGAGGCAUAGAAAGGUCUUUCUAGCUCUAAAGUUAAUCAGAAAUUCUCUGUUUUCUUUUUGCUUUUUUUAAAAUUUUACUUUAAGUCCUUGGAUACAUGUGCUGAACGUGCAGGUUUGUUACAUAGGUAUACAUGGGCCAUGGUGGUUUGCUGCACCUAUCAACCCGUCAUCUAGGUUUUAAGCUCCACAUGCAUUAGGUAUUUGUCCUAAUGCUCUUCCUCCUCUUUCCCCAUGCCCCCAACAGGCCCCGGUGUGUGAUGUUCCCCUCCCUGUGUCCAUGUGUUCUCAUUGUUUAGCUCCCACUUAUGAGUGAGAACAUGCAGUGUUUGGUUUUCUGUUCCUGUGUUAGUUUGCUGAGGAUGAUGGUUUUCAGCUUCAUCCAGGUCCCUGCAAAGGACAUGAACUCAUUCUUUUUUAUGGCUGCAUAGUAUUCCAAGUUGCAUAUGUGCCACAUUUUCUUUAUCCAGUGUAUCAUUGAUGGGCUUUUGGGUUGCUUCCAAGUCUUUGCUAUCGUAAGUAGUGCUGCAAUAAACAAAUGUAUGCAUGUGUCUUUAUAGUAGAAUGAUUUAUAAUCCUUUGGGUAUAUACCCAGUAAUGGGAUUGCUGGGUCAAAUGGUAUUUCUAGUUCUAGAUCCUCGAGGAGUCGCCACACUGUCUUCCACAAUGGUUGAGCUAAUUUACACUCCCACCAACAGUGUAAACGUGUUCCUAUUUCUCCACAUCCUCACCAGCAUUUGUUAUUUCCAGACUUUUUAAUGAUUGCCAUUCUAACUGGCAUGAGAUGGUAUCUCCUUGUGGUUUUGAUUUGCAUUUCUCAGCUCAUUGCAACCUCUGCCUCCCAGGUUCAAGCAAUUCUCCUGCCUCAGCCUCCAGAGUAGCUGGGAUUACAGGGGCACGCCACCAAGCCCAGCUAAUUUUUGUAUUUUUAGCAGAAACAGGGCUUCACCAUGUUGGCCAGUCUGGUCUCAAACUCCUGAUCUCAAGUGAUCCAUCCACCUCAGCCUCCCAAAGUGCUGGGAUUAUAGGCGUGAGCCACCACGGCUGGCCAUUCUCCUGUGUUUUCUUCUGGGGCUUUUAUACUUUCAUUUUUUAAAAUCCAUAGUUUCUUGGAGCUGGAGGUGUCCCUUGUCAUUUUCUCAUCAGUGAGUGCAAAGCAGGAUCCCAAAAGGAUUGGAGUCCAGAGUAGAGAAAGGAGCUGCCGCGGUGGAGUCUGUUCAGUGCAGGCUCUGAUCUCCUUCAGCCCUGCCAGGAAUCCCAGCCAGCAGAUCUUCUUCCAGCUUCCCUUUCUCCAGCACUCUUGAUCUUCUGGGCUGGCACAGGGUCCAGGGUUGAUGGGGAUCCUAGCUGCCUGAGGAGCUUCCAGUCUGGAGGGUGAUACAAGCACAUGGCCAGACCUGAAUUCAAGCCAUGAGAGAGAUUCAGAACCUGGGCUGGGAGCGCAGGGGAGGGAGCGGGGUGCUGAUGGGGGUGGAUGGGAGGCUCCAGAGAGGAGGUGGCGUCUGAACUGAACCUUAAGAAUGAGGGGAAAUGUAAUGGCAGCGAUGAGAAAGGGGAGGCACUUCAGUGCAGAGAACAGCAAGAGCAAAGACAAGGAGGUGGAAAAUCAGCCAGAAACCUAGCCUGGAGAGGGUUUAGUGGACCAUGGGUCCUUGAUGGUAGAGACACAACAUGACUUAUCUCUGUGUCCCAUCCUCUGUGCCAGAGGCGGCAUCGACCAGACUUGGACAAAUGAAGCAGAAGGGACAGGGGACUUAGAAUACUAGGCUGCAUCAUUUUCUUUUUACUCUGACAGUGAGAAGCAAAGACCUCCACAAAGAAAGAAGCCCUUGGCUGUGUCAUCAUUUUAGAAUCUGGGCACUCUCUGCACACCACUGCCCCCUCAUGGCUGAUCUAGGAAUUCUCUCUAAAUCCCAGACUGAAGGUGAGGAGGAGGCUCAGUGAGUCUUAGAGAUUUGAAAAGCCGUGAAAUCCUGGUUGGAGAACAUCUGAGUCCAAAGGGCCCUCAGAGACUCUCUGACUUCCUCAUUA